CUACGGAGGGUGCGAACGUUAAUCGGAAUUACUGGGCGUAAAGCGCGCGUAGGCGGUUAGAUAAGUGGGAUGUGAAAGCCCCGGGCUCAACCUGGGAACUGCAUUCCAAACUAUCUAGCUAGAGUUUGGUAGAGGGAGGUGGAAUUUCCUGUGUAGCGGUGAAAUGCGUAGAUAUAGGAAGGAACACCAGUAGCGAAGGCGGCCUCCUGGACCAAAACUGACGCUGAGGUGCGAAAGCGUGGGGAGCAAACAGGAUUAGAUACCCUAGUAGUCC
rnacentral:rRNA from 1 species